rnacentral:rRNA from 1 species
GCUGGCGGCGUGCCUAACACAUGCAAGUCGAGCGGUAACAGGUGUAGCAAUACAUGCUGACGAGCGGCGAACGGGUGAGUAAUGCUUCGGAAUCUACCCAAUGGCGGGGAAUAACUAGCCGAAAGGUUAGCUAAUACCGCAUAAGCCCUACGGGGGAAAGCAGGGGAUCGUAAGACCUUGCACCGAUGGAUGAGCCGAAGCCGGAUUAGCUAGUUGGUAGGGUAACGGCCUACCAAGGCGACGAUCCGUAGCUGGUCUGAGAGGACGACCAGCCACACUGGGACUGAGACACGGCCCAGACUCCUACGGGAGGCAGCAGUGGGGAAUAUUGGACAAUGGGGGAAACCCUGAUCCAGCGACGCCGCGUGUGUGAAGAAGGCCUGCGGGUUGUAAAGCACUUUUAGUGGGGAUGAAAAGUUCAGGGCUAAUAUCCCUGGAUCUUGACCUAACCC